GAUGAACGCUGGCGGCGUGCCUAAUACAUGCAAGUCGAGCGAACAGACGAGGAGCUUGCUCCUCUGACGUUAGCGGCGGACGGGUGAGUAACACGUGGAUAACCUACCUAUAAGACUGGGAUAACUUCGGGAAACCGGAGCUAAUACCGGAUAAUAUAUUGAACCGCAUGGUUCAAUAGUGAAAGACGGUUUUGCUGUCACUUAUAGAUGGAUCCGCGCCGCUUAGCUAGUUGGUAAGGUAACGGCUUACCAAGGCAACGAUGCGUAGCCGACCUGAGAGGGUGAUCGGCCACACUGGAACUGAGACACGGUCCAGACUCCUACGGGAGGCAGCAGUAGGGAAUCUUCCGCAAUGGGCGAAAGCUUGACGGAGCAACGCCGCGUGAGUGAUGAAGGUCUUCGGAUCGUAAAACUCUGUUAUUAGGGAAGAACAAAUGUGUAAGUAAUUAUGCACGUCUUGACGGUACCUAAUCAGAAAGCCACGGCUAACUACGUG
rnacentral:rRNA from 1 species